ensembl:misc_RNA
CUCACAGCCCUGGAGGCUGAUGAACCCUCUUUAUCUACACAGCAGGUAAGGCACAAACAGUGGCAAUGUGAGCUCUCUGUGCACUCCCCUGCCAGUGUGCCUGACUGCUAAUCUGGGGGAACAAAGGAAAGAUAGCAUAUGGAUAGCAGAUUGCACUGAGCGCCGAAGGAGGACUGAGGAAAUCUAUGUU